rnacentral:lncRNA from 1 species
GCUUCAAGAGCCAAGUCUGACCUUGAGUUCAAGGUCACAUCCCUAGACAGGUGAUCAAAGGGCAGGGGUGGUCACUCUGAGGCCAUAUGUCCUCUGCCCCAUGUCCAGCACCUCAUGCCUCAUCUUAGAGAGGAAAAAGACUGCAGAUCUCGCGAAAACUUGUUCUGAUCUUGUCACUCCAGUUUCUCCAAGACCCCAAGCAGAACCCUCCUCAUGGAAGGCCUCGGGCUUGGGUACCCAAAUCAACAAUCCAGGAGACUUCAGAAUUUAUUUUCUAUGAGACAAGAGGUCCCAAAUAUUACCAAGACCGGUUUUGUCUGUAGUCCACUAGAUACACGGACUUAGUGUCAGUUAUUGUACACGUAUUCAGCUGAGCCCAACCUACCCCAUCCUCAACAUCACUCCUCACUCAGAACUACCUGCCCUAUAGCCACCAAGACACUUGUACUGCCAUGGCUUUUCUCAAUGAGCACUGACGUGUCUCUGAGCAGUGUUUCAAGUUCCUAGCCAAAGUGCUGCUCCCACCUGCUGGGAGGUCCCAGGCAGGUCCAGCUGUGAGAAUAACAGCCCAGGCAAGGGACAACUCAGGUGGUGCCUGCAGGGGGUCUGACCACCUUUGGGGCAGUUGACUCCCAAACGUCUUCAGCUGACCCUUACCCCAGUGAUAGUGCUCCUUUCUCCUGCUCUGUCUUCUUGUUCCUGAACAUGGACACAGUGCUCCAUCAAUCCAAAACAUGGGAAGGGUGGCCCGGGCUCUGGCCUUUGGUGAGCUAAGGAUUCUCCAGCCUCCACAGGGACCUUCUGGGAGCCAGCAACAAACACAUCACCCGCUCUGUGGGCAGGGCCCUGGCUUGCCUGUCGCACAGUGAGAGAUGACUUGGGAGGCAGAACCGUCCACAGCCCCUGAAGCAGAGGCUGCCCACACUCACCAGCAGCACAGGGCCCCAGGGAAGUGUGGAGGGGGAAUCCUUGGGGACUUCUGUGCUGAUCUGCCUGGGUGACCUCCCUCCAGACUUAAACCCCAGCCCUGUGGUCUUAGGGAUGCCAUGCCCUCGGGUUCUCUUUACAGGGACCGAGAUAUACAAACAGUGGAUCCAUUUCAAUAAGAUAUGAAGAAACGAGAAAAGAUCAUUUU